rnacentral:rRNA from 1 species
AUUGAACGCUGGCGGCAUGCCUUACACAUGCAAGUCGAACGGCAGCACGGGUGCUUGCACCUGGUGGCGAGUGGCGAACGGGUGAGUAAUACAUCGGAACGUACCUUAUCGUGGGGGAUAACGCAGCGAAAGCUGUGCUAAUACCGCAUACGCCCUGAGGGGGAAAGCGGGGGAUCGAAAGACCUCGCGCGAUUAGAGCGGCCGAUGCCUGUUUAGCUUGUUGGUGGGGUAAAAGCCCACCAAGGCGACGAUCAGUAGCUGGUCUGAGAGGACGAUCAGCCACACUGGGACUGAGACACGGCCCAGACUCCUACGGGAGGCAGCAGUGGGGAAUUUUGGACAAUGGGGGCAACCCUGAUCCAGCAAUGCCGCGUGAGUGAAGAAGGCCUUCGGGUUGUAAAGCCCUUUUGUCAGGGAAGAAACACCGGCUCUAACACAGUCCGGGAAUGACGGUACCUGAAGAAUAAGCACCGGCUAACUACGUGCCAGCCGCCGCAGUAA